GGAGCGCCGCCCUGCCCUGCGCGGAGGCCCGCGGCCCCGGGACUAGCGCAGGCUCGGAGCAGAAGGAGCGGGGUCCGGGACCCGGCCAGGGUUCCCCCGGAGGGGGCCCGGGUCCCAGGUCGCUAUCAGGACCCGAGCAGGGCACGGCAUGUUGCGAACUUGAGGAGGCCCAGGGCCAGUGCCAGCAAGAGGAGGCACAGAGGGAAGCCGCCUCAGUGCCCCUGAGGGACUCCGGGCACCCCGGCCAUGCUGAAGGAAGGGAGGGCGACUUCCCCGCCGCAGAUCUGGAUUCGCUUUGGGAGGAUUUCUCCCAAAGUCUCGCCCGUGGCAAUUCGGAGUUGCUGGCCUUCCUCACCAGCUCCGGGGCGGGAUCGCAGCCAGAGGCGCAGCGUGAGCUCGACGUGGUUCUCAGAACCGUCAUCCCGAAAACUAGCCCACAUUGCCCCCUUACAACUCCCAGGAGGGAAAUAGUCGUGCAAGAAAGAUGGCAUUCAGAUGGAAUCGUGUAUCCCAAACCCACGUGGCUUGGAGAAGAGUUGCUGGCCAAGUUGGCCAAGUGGUCUGUAGAGAACAAGAAGAGUGACUUUAAAAGCACCCUUUCCCUCAUCUCCAUUAUGAAGUAUAGCAAGGCUUACCAGGAACUUAAAGAGAAGUAUAAGG
rnacentral:lncRNA from 1 species